CUGGGGUGUGGGCCUAGUCUGAUGUGAAAAUUUAAACUAUGCCGAUCAAUGGCCGAAGUUCAAUAGCCGCUGGUGAUCCCCCAAAAGGCUGCUGAUUGGUUACUGUUGUGGUAGGUUUCCACCUGGCUUAUCAGCUGACUUGUCUUAUCACGGUUUUUUUUCUUCAAUGAUUCAGACUUCGAGAAGACAAUAAUGAGUAGCACACCUGUCUUUUAUCUAGUACAUCCUUCCUAUGAAUGAAGUGGUAUACCGCCAAGGGUUACACCUGCUAGUGGGAUGAUUAUUGUGCGUCGUUAGUUCGACGAAACUGGCUGCUGCUACUGCUGCUUUUUUCACUGUCGCUGUUCUUCUACAACUGAUAACCGCGUCUGAAUUGACUACGGAACUUAACAGCAUCCUCCCUGCUCUCGAGCUGGGAUUAACUGCAAAACUUCAAACACGUUCGUUCUCAGCGCUGACUUUCAGUUGCUUACAGGCAACGCGCAAAACGGGAGGUGCGACGGGUCUCUUCACUUGUCGUCUUUGCUUCGGGUUAAUAGGUUAUCGCCUGAACGAAAUUCCGCGCAAUUUGCUGGUAUGACACUCGCUGCAGAAGGGAGACAAAAAAAGAUUUGUGAAUAUCGAUUAUUCAUCGCUGGAUUAUUACAGAAGGAUUAUCGCCGGACAAUCUACCAGUGUGAGGUCAAAACGUUCGAGACAGAUAUUACUCUGAGCACGUCCCAGCACUGUUCAUAUCUUGGAAGUCGGAAGGUCGGUAGUCUUCGGAGAACAGUCUGCGUUUCCCUAACUUGACUCUGUUUACUCCGUUCAGGCUACUACCACAUUUUUGGCGAUACGCAUAAUGAGCCUAGGUUCCUGCUAACCUUGUCGAUGAAUGUUAUGCGUUGUUCAAAUGUUAGCUUAGUCAAGCAGUACUCCCAAGUACUUGAUACAAUUUGUGCGACGUAGAGGUGUGUUCGAUGGGUUAUAGGUGAAAGCAAGUGAACUUUGCUUCCUGAAUAAUGUUAUUGCUUCGCUUUUGUCCACAUUCAAUGACAUGCAGUUGUCUACACAACAUUAUGCAAAGAUCAAUAACUGCGGCAGCUGACAGCACCUUAACCAUUGCUAAGUACUUUAUGUCGUCAGUGAAUGACAAUCGUGGACCUUGGAACCAAAAGUUGAUGUAGUUAAGGUGGAUAAAAAAAUAUCAAUGGUUCGAGAUGGGAUGUCGGAGUGAGUUGAGAAAGUUAUCGAAGAGACUCCAUUGAUAUUCUCUACUAAACAGGUAAGAUUUGAACUACUGGAACCGUGGGCCUCCGAUGGCGAACUAUUCAAGUUUCGCAACGGUGAUUUGGUAGUUUAGUUUGCCGAAAGUCCGUCUGAGACUUGUCGUCAAAGCUGUCCAUUACGUAGGAUAUGAGCAUCAGGAGAUUUAUGACCAUUGAUCGCUUAGGCAUGAAACUAUGUUCUUCAUCUGCGAUGUACUGCUCGUAAAAAGAAAAAGUAGAUUCAACCACAACAAGCUUGGAGAGUUUCGGUAUAAAGCAAAGAUCGAAGAUUUCUCGAAGUUAUCAAUGUUACUUCUAUUUCCUUUUUCAUGUACUGGGAACAUGUACGCCGGUUUUCAAACCAAAGGAGACACCAGAGCUGAUGGAUUAAAUGAAUAAACAACUAUUGGUGGAACCAUAUCACUACUCCAGUUUUCCAGCAAAACGGAUGGUAUGCCAUCCGGUCCAGAUAGAAGACCUGAACUUCGAGGCGGCUAAUGUUAGUCAGAAUACGACCGAGAAGAGCGAAACGUUCGUCCACAAAUAGUAGUUCCAGUGGUUAAAUACCGAUAAAUCGGCAACGGUUCUAGUACGAUGCAGAUUCAGUAGAUCUCGCAAUGGGAAAUAACGAUUUUUUGACGUAGGACUACGUCUUUGUUUUCUAUACUAGAUUACAUUUUAUGAAAUUGGAAAUGAAACUGGCAAAUGUUGCGUCAGAUUUCAAACUAUUACAGCAAGCGAACGAUUUAUUGCAUCUUAGUCACUUAUAUGGCGGUGGAUAGCUAAAAUGUGUGACAAUUGUUUGAUAUAAUGUUUAACAUUGUUGUUACUGCUUAAUGGUGAAAAUAGGUGGAAAGUUCCAAGGUCAAGCAUUCCGAUACCCUUUCUCGUUAUUGCCUUGCUUCCCGAGCACGGAUUACAAUUACAUGGUCGAAACAAAUUCCACUGCCUACAUAUUUUGACUCAACAAAGUGUUUUGUUUUGUUUCUUACUCUCUAGUCUGCGUCGCCCCGCCCAUAUUGCAAAAAUCUACUCUCAAUUCGAUACGAAUGACCGCGUGUAGAAAAUUCAACCUAAUUCUUGUGCGUCACAUGGUAGCGAGUAGAGUAUAGAUAUUAGAAGUACCGUAAACUGGGGUGACUUUAAUAACUCUACCCCUGUUUUGAAUAUGUGAUAAAAAGCGCUCCAAGAGCUUGAUAUUUGUCGUAAUCUUCACUGAUUAUGGGUAGAUACAGUACUAGACAAAAAAAAGUACGCACCUGUGAUAUGUUCAAACUUUCUUGAUUUAGGUAGAAUCUAAGGCAGAUGGAUAAUCAAAGUGUUCUAUCAAAAGACAGUACUGGAGGUGUACUUUCGAAAAAUGUUAGAUAAAGCGACAUGAGAACGACAUAUAAACAUAAAAAGAGCUCAUAUUUGGAAAUUGUCAUUUUUCUUGUGGACAAAAUAAAGUACGCAUUAUAGUGAUUCAACGUUCAAA